rnacentral:pre_miRNA from 1 species
AAUAGAUGACGCCGUUGACUUUUUAUCACACGUUUGACCAUUCGUCUUAUUCAAAAAAUUUACGUAAUUAUAAUUUAUUUUGUUAUGAGUUGUUUUAUCACUCAAAGUACUUUAAGCAUAAUUUAUAUCUAUACGUUUACAUAAAUUUUUUUUGAAUAAGACGAAUGGUCAAACAUAUGUUCAAAAGUCAAUAGCGCCAUCUAUU